GGCUUGGAAUUGUUUGGGGUGGGCCAUUGCUGUUGUGUUACGCCUGGGCCCAAGAGGCUAUGCGCCCUAAACCAACAACAACAACAACAACAACAUUGCUGUUGUGUUGGACGUCAGUGCGAGCAUCGUGUCCCUGUAUCGCAUGCCUACGCUAACCGGUUAACAGGCGAUGUAAAAUUGCAUAUGGGACUUGCGACUAUGGGAAGUCAAGUAAUGACCAAUUAACUCUCAGAAGUUUUGUACAAAUGCAUUUGGAACAGGCUGCACACCUUAGGCACUGUUCAAGUGAAUCUAGAAUUUUGCUGGUAUGGGCAUUGAUUUUUCAAUAGCAUUUGCAUGAUUUUGCCAUUGAGCAGAUCUUAUUUUUAAACCCCCAGAAGGGUCUUCAUAAUGGUUUGAGAUUUAGAGCAUGCUAACUACCUUGAUUGCAUGGUGCUCAUAGAGGGGGAUUAAGUACAGGGGUCUUAUGCCUUUCCUGCCCAGGGCUCCUUCCCUGGAUCCUCCCCUUGCUGCAUGUAUUGGUGUUAGGUCAUGGCCAGAGGUCCAGUUAAAUGUCGUGUGUAGGUAGAGGUGCAGCAUACAAGCCAUCUCACCAGCUGUUGCAUUGUGGUCAGGUACCACAAUGGUGUAAACAAAUCACCAGAGUCUCAUGCACCAUUCCAGGCAUGUUACUUUUUGGUAGCGUUGUAUUAGUUUUGCCAUAUAAGAUUUGCUAGGCCAUCACAACUAAUGCUACCUCAGAUUACGGCUGCUCUUGUAAGUGGAGAUAUAUUUAUGCUGAAGCACUGAUUUCCUGGCAUCUAGAGAAUUUGCAUUAUAUUUAAAAUCUUCUUUUCUGGCAAUCUAGGUAUUGUUCAAUGUGUAUGUAGCAUCUGGCACCAUAUCUGUGUUUCUAGAGCUAGGAUCAAGAUGGCUUCAGUACAAUGGCUUUGGGCCUGGCAUUUGAUAGUCGGCUGACAGAGCUAUAUGAUGGAUGCCAUAGUUGAAAUAUAAGCUUAUAUGUUGACCAAAUUGAGGGGCUGACUUUGCCAAUCUAUUCUUUAGUGCAGUAAGUAAUCCUUCCUUUGAUCCAUCUAGGUAAAUUUUCAAGAGCUAUACAAGUAUUUUGUCCACCCUGCACACUUUCACAACUACCAUGCAGCGAUGGCUGACUGGGUCUCAGGAUCUCUAGGGUUCAGACAUGGACAAGUUAAAGAAGGUUUUCAGUGGCAGUGAGGCAAACAAUGCUGAUACAAGUGAUGCAGAGUCGGGAGGAAUCAUUUCACAGUUUGUGGAUACAUCCACUUUAAGUUGGAGCACUAGAGUAAAAGGAUUUGUCAUUUGUUUUGUUGCUGGCGUGGUUUGCUCCAUGCUGGGUUGUGUCUUCUUUUGGUUGAAGCAUGGCAUUGUUAUAUUUUGCAUAUUUUACACACUUGGAAACAUCGUAGCCUUGAUGAGCACCUGCUUCCUGAUGGGUCCCAUGAGACAGCUGAAGAACAUGUUUGCCAAGACACGCAUGGUCGCCACAGUGGUGAUGCUGCUUUCGAUUUUGCUGACCAUUGUAGCAGCCAUUGUGAGUAGCCGGGAUCGCAGCUGGUGCCGAUGGUUGGGGUGGGCUUACACUAGCAGCCACUGUGAGUAGCCGGGAUGGCAGCUGGUGCUGAUGGUCGGGGUAUCUUACACUAGCAGCCGCAGUGAGUAGCCAGGAUGACAGCUGGUGCCAAUGGUUGGGGUGGGCUUACACUGGGAGCCGUUGUGAGUAGCCGGGAUGGCAGCUGGUGCCGAUGGUUGUGGUGGGCUUACACUAGCAGUCACGCUCGAGGAGCCCAUCCGCAUGUGGUGCGUUGUGGAUGGCCUAAUGGGGUGCAUUACCUUUCCAGGUUUUCUGUUUUUACAUCUGUAUAGUUUUGCCUGAAGUGCAUGGUGAAUUUGAAUAAACAAAAGUGCAUGCUCAUGCUGGGCGUAUUUGUUUCGGUGAUGGCAUUGUUGCAUGCUGCAUGUCUGUCCAUCCCAUGUAUAUCUAGCUUUUCCGUGAUCAAAAUGAUUCGCUCGCUGAUUGGUUUGACGUCUUUCAACAGCUGGAUUGGAAGGCACUGGUGCUGCUGUUCUGCAUAAUCGAGUUUCUGGCGAUGACGUGGUACUCGAUAUCGUAUAUUCCGUACGCCCGCGACGCCUGCAUCAAGUGGUUCGAGUCCUGCCUGGGCUAGAAGACCCACACCGUAUUUGCGAAAGUGAAACCUGGGUAUGGUAAUGUUAUCAGGUAACCUUAAAUGGCAACCAGAUUAAUUUUCUUGAGGUGCUUCUUUUGAAGAUUUUUGUGUUUUGCGAUACAAUUACGGUAUAAAUCCAGAUUAUAGAAUGAGAUAGCUCGUUGAAUAUCAACAAAUGCGAAGAUUCGCUUUACAUAUCCUACACCUUUUAGGAAGAAAGUUUGUCAAAUCAAUGUAAGCCCGUAUUUUGUAGUGGCGCUCCAAGUGCGGCGUAGAUAUACGUAGUUGCUGCAGCUUCCUUUGGAUCGACCCUUUGCGAAGGGUAUAGCGGUGUUCUUUUUUAGCAUAAAGGCAGAGGCUAAACGCGCGGUCUUUUUUAGCUCCCUGCGGAAAUUUGUUGAGAAGUUGUGGUCUUGAUUCGUCUAAAAAUGAAACGCAAUUUCCUAUCUGGUUGACAAGCCUGCCGCCGCUUCAGAAUUGAGAAAACAACGUUUCGGUCCCGAGAGUGUACGUGCUAUUUUCGGAUGACGUGUGCAGUAGGUGGGGUUGCCAGAACGCCGGGGCUGCUGUUUUUCUCGUGUAUGCACGAAGCUGUCAUAUAAGGCUAUCCUACCAACGCGCAGAUGACGUAUCGAUAGGCUUCUCUCCUUGUGUAGAAUUUCCAUGUCUGGGUCAUGUUUGUAUCUCCCAAGCGUGUAACGUGAACGAGACUUCAGCAAGCGCAACAUGAGCCGUCACGCGGCUCAUGGUGGACUGCCGCGAAACUGGGGAAAAUCCUGCGUUUGUUAUUGGGUAAACGUUGCUUGUUAUUGCGAUGCUGUGGAUUUGCUUUUUCGUCGUGCUCAUGCUUACGUGGCUGUAGUGCUGCUGUUUUCGUCACCAUAAAGUGUGCCACAGUACUCGGCCACCGGCCGUGUGACGUCCGUCAAGCAUUGGUGCCGUCACUGCGCUGAAUUGCCGGCGUCUGUGAAUUGGGGACUGACUUUGCCAAAGAUUGUCAUCGGUUGUCGAGAAAAUACAUAUCCGUCUUGUGUAUUCGAUC
rnacentral:lncRNA from 1 species